UACGUAGGGCGCAAGCGUUAUCCGGAAUUAUUGGGCGUAAAGAGCUCGUAGGCGGUUUGUCGCGUCUGCCGUGAAAGUCCGGGGCUCAACUCCGGAUCUGCGGUGGGUACGGGCAGACUAGAGUGAUGUAGGGGAGACUGGAAUUCCUGGUGUAGCGGUGAAAUGCGCAGAUAUCAGGAAGAACACCCGUGGCGAAAGCGGCUCUCUGGAAACGGUACUGACGCUGAGAGCGAAAAGCGUGGGGAGCGAAACAGG
rnacentral:rRNA from 1 species